GCCGGGUGUGGUGGCUCACGCCUGUAAUCCCAGCACUUUGGGAGGCCGAGGCGGGUGGAUCACCUGAGGUCAGGAGUUCAAGACCAGCCUGGCCAACAUGGUGAGACCCUGUCUCUA
rnacentral:SRP_RNA from 2 species